UAGAGUUUGAUCAUGGCUCAGAUUGGACGCUGGCGGCAGGCCUAGCACAUGCAAGUCGAGCGGUAACAUGUCUAGCUUGCUAGAUGAUGGCGAGCGGCGGACGGGUGAGUAAUGCUUGGGGAUCUGCCUUAGAGUGGAGGAUAACCAUUGGAAACGAUGGCUAAUACUGCAUAGUAUCUGCGGAUUAAAGGGGGCUUCGGCUCUUGCUUUAAGAUGAACCCAAGUGGGAUUAGCUAGUUGGUGAGGUAAUGGCUCACCAAGGCGACGAUCCCUAGCUGGUCUGAGAGGAUGAUCAGCCACACUGGAACUGAGACACGGUCCAGACUCCUACGGGAGGCAGCAGUGGGGAAUAUUGCACAAUGGGCGAAAGCCUGAUGCAGCCAUGCCGCGUGUGUGAAGAAGGCCCUAGGGUUGUAAAGCACUUUCAGUCAGGAGGAAAGGUUAGUAGUUAAUACCUGCUAGCUGUGACGUUACUGACAGAAGAAGCACCGGCUAACUUCGUGCCAGCAGCCGCGGUAAUACGAGGGGUGCAAGCGUUAAUCGGAAUUACUGGGCGUAAAGCGAGCGUAGGCGGCUGAAUAAGCUGGAUGUGAAAGACCGGGGCUCAACCUCGGCCGUGCAUUCAGAACUGUUUAGCUAGAGUCCUGUAGAGGGGGGUAGAAUUUCA
rnacentral:rRNA from 1 species